rnacentral:rRNA from 1 species
AGCGAACGCUGGCGGCAGGCUUAACACAUGCAAGUCGAGCGGGCACUUCGGUGUCAGCGGCAGACGUGUGAGUAACACGUGGUAACUUACCCUUCGGUUCGGAAUAACGCUGGGAAACUAGCGCUAAUACCGGAUACGCCCUUUUGGGGAAAGGUUUACUGCCGAAGGAUCGGCCCGCGUCUGAUUAGCUAGUUGGUGGGGUAAUGGCCUACCAAGGCGACGAUCAGUAGCUGGUCUGAGAGGAUGAUCAGCCACAAUGGGACUGAGACACGGCCCAGAAUCCUACGCGAGGCAGGAGUGGGGAAUAUUGGACAAUGGGCGCAAGCCUGAUCCAGCCAUGCCGGGUGAGUGAUGAAGGCCUUAGGGUUGUAAAGCUCUUUUGUCCGGGACGAUAAUGACGGUACCGGAAGAAUAAGCCCCGGCUAACUUCGUG